GACGAACGCUGGCGGCGUGCCUAAUACAUGCAAGUAGAACGCACAGUUUAUACCGUAGCUUGCUACACCAUAGACUGUGAGUUGUGAAUGAGUGAUUAAUGCGUUGGUUAUCUGACUGGUAGCGCUGCAUAACAACGGGAAACGAACGGUAAAAUAGCAUAAUCUUCAUUGUUCCAUGAUAAUUGAUGGAAUGAUUGUACCUCAUAGAUACAUCCGCGACGUGUUGUGUAUUAGGUAGUAGGAGAGGUUACGGCUCAACUAGGCGACGAUACACAGCCGAACUGAGAAGGUGAACGGCCACACUGGGACUGAGACACGGCCCAGACUCCUACGGGAAGCAGCAGUAGGGAAACUUCGGCAAUGGACGAAAGUCUGACCGAGCAACGCCGCGGGAGUGGAGAAGGGUUUCGGAUCGUAAAGCUCUGUUGUAAGGGAAGAACGGAUGUGAGAGUGGAAAAUUCACACUGUGACGGUAUCUUACCAGAAAGGGACGGCUAACUACGUG
rnacentral:rRNA from 1 species